rnacentral:rRNA from 1 species
UAAGUGGUGGAAAUUAAACCAAAUGGGAUAUCUUUAGUAAUUGCGAAUGAACAAGGAUAUGCUUAGCUUGACAAAUGGAGCUAUUGGCUUUGAAUUGUAUUGUGGAAAUGUAUUACCAACAGAGGUGCAGGUGCCAGCCUAUUGAAAUAAAGCGUCAAUGAGGGUGAGAAUCCUGUUUGUCAUGUGCAGCCCUUUGUGCACGGUGUAUAUUUGCUGAGUCACACUCCUUGGCAUUGGAAUGCAAAGUGGGUGGUAAGUUUCAUGUAAAGGUAAACAUGCAAUUGAGACUGAUAGCACACAAGUACCAUGAGGGAAAUAUGAAAAGGACUUUGAAAAGAGAAUUAAAUGAGUUUGUAUUUGCUGAACACAAAGUAAACAGACUUGAUUUGCUUGGUGGGAGUGUUGCACUUGCUUGACAAGAGCUUUGGGCUGUGGGUGUAAUGAUUCUUUCUUUGCAUGCCAGUUUCUAUUUGUACAUCUGAUUACCUUUGCACAUGAAUGAUAAGUCUCCUGUGGGGGGUGGAUUGCAUGUGCAUGUAAUGAUUUGUGUUUUGAUAAAUGUGUCUGGUGUAUGUGUGUGUGUUCCUGUGCUUGGGGAUGCUUCCUUCCUUGGACUUACAAGCCCUGACACACACAUGCUGGCAAAAUGCUUCUGCUUGACCCG